rnacentral:misc_RNA from 1 species
GAAUAAUUCAUUUUCCAAGAAUAAGACUUUAACCUAAUCAAACCAGGAGAAGGAUUUUCUCAAGAAAUUAAAAGAGGUGAAGGUUUACAUUGGAGUUCAACUUGAAAAACUUCACAAAACUCCUUGACUAAAGAUUUAUGAGUAACAUCGAUAAGCUGGACAUCAUCUAGGUUUUCUGUACCACAGCCAUUAGAGUGUGAGUGCUCCCUCAGCAAUCCCUUUAUGCUUCCAACUUGACGGUCACGGAUCCCACAUGGAACUAUCUGUUGAAAGGGUGCCAGAUCUGUGGUGACAUUGAGAGCCAGGCCAUGAUAGGUGACCCAUUGAGAUACUCGAAUGCCAAUUGCAGCUAAUUUCUGACCCCCAACCCAAACACCGGUUAGGCCAUCAAUUCUUGAAGCCUCCAUAGAAAAUGAUGAAGAAAGA